ensembl:lncRNA
GGAAGGGGAAGUGGACCCGUAGAGAGAGAGAUGGCAUUAUGGAGGGGGGAAGGGGAAGUGGACCCGUAGAGAGAGGGAUGGCAUUAUGGAGGGGGGGGGGGUGAGGGAAGGGGAAGUGGACCCGUAGAGAGAGGGAUGGCAUUAUGGAGGGGUGAUGGAAGGGGAAGUGGACCCGUAGAGAGAGGGAUGGCAUUAUGGAGGGGAGGGGGUGAGGGAAGGGGAAGUGGACCCGUAGAGAGAGGGAUGGCAUUAUGGAGGGGGAGGGGGGGAAGUGGACCCGUAGAGAGAGGGAUGGCAUUAUGGAGGGGGGGUGAGGGAAGGGGAAGUGGACCCGUAGAGAGAGGAAUGGCAUUAUGGAGGGGGAGGGGGUGAGGGAAGGGAAGUGGACCUGUAGAGAGAGGGAUGGCAUUAUGUAUGGGGGGUGGUGAGGGAAGGGGAAGUGGACCCGUAGAGAGAGGUUACAGGUAGCUAAUUAUCACUGAGGUCAAGAGUAUGGUAGUAAGGUCUGGAGAGACAGAGAGAAGGCAUGGGAUUCACACACACACACACGUGUACGCACACACACACAUACACACAUCAUGGCAUCUCUUAUUUAUGAGUCGACAUUUAUGUUGCUAUGUUUAUUGUUUCUGUUUCAAGUAGCCCU